GACGAACGCUGGCGGCGUGCUUAACACAUGCAAGUCGAACGGAAAGGCCCUGCUUUUGUUGGUUGCUCGAUUGGCGAACGGGUGUGUAACACGUGAGUAUCCUGCCCUUGACUUUGGGAUAACUUCAGGAAACUGGGGCUAAUACCGGAUAUGAGCUCCUGCUGCAUGGUGGGGGUUGGAAAGUUUCGGCUGUUGGGGAUGGACUCGCGGCUUAUCAGCUUGUUGGUGGGGUAGUGGCUUACCAAGGCUUUGACGGGUAGCCUGCCUGAGAGGGUGACCGGCCACAAUGGGACUGAGAGACGGCCCAGACUCCUACGGGAGGCAGCAGUGGGGAAUAUUGCAGAAUGGGCGGAAGCCUGAUGCAGAAGCGCCGCGUGCGGGAUGACGGCCUUCGGGUGGUAAACCGAUUUCGCCUGUGACGAAGCGUGAGUGACGGUAAUGGGUAAAGAAGCACCGGCUAACUACGUG
rnacentral:rRNA from 1 species